rnacentral:piRNA from 1 species
UAUAGAAGAAACUCAAAGUGAAUGGUC